ensembl:snoRNA SNORA12 small nucleolar RNA, H/ACA box 12
AGUUGUGGUGGUUUUCUUUUUGGCACAUUUGUUAAAUUUUCAAAUGGGUCUGACUCUGCCACAUAUAUUACAUAGGAGCUGGCAAGGGCUUGAUGACAGAGAGAUCUCUCUCUAGCCUUUCCUGCAUCAGGCAUCGGCUCCCACACUU